rnacentral:rRNA from 1 species
UACGAAGGGGGCUAGCGUUGCUCGGAAUUACUGGGCGUAAAGAGCGCGCAGGCGGUCGGAUAAGUCGAAUGUGAAAGCCCCUGGCUCAACUGGGGAGGGUCAUUCGAUACUGUUCGACUCGAAGGCAGGAGAGGGAAGUGGAAUUCCCGGUGUAGUGGUGAAAUGCGUAGAUAUCGGGAGGAACACCAGUGGCGAAGGCGACUUCCUGGCCUGUUCUUGACGCUGAGGCGCGAAAGCUAGGGGAGCAAACGGG